UACGUAGGGGGCAAGCGUUGUCCGGAUUUACUGGGCUUAAAGGGUGCGUAGGUGGUUAAUUAAGUCAGUGGUGAAAUCUUCAGGCUUAACCUGGAAACUGCCAUUGAUACUAUUUAUCUUGAAUACUUUGGAGGUAAGCGGAAUAUGUCAUGUAGCGGUGAAAUGCUUAGAUAUGACAUAGAACACCAAUGGCGAAGGCAGCUUACUACACAGUAAUUGACACUGAGGCACGAAAGCGUGGGGAUCAAACAGG
rnacentral:rRNA from 1 species